GUGCCAGCCGCCGCGGUAAUACAGAGGUCCCAAGCGUUGUUCGGAAUUAUUGGGCGUAAAGGGUGCGUAGGCGGCAGGAUAAGUUAGAUGUGAAAUAUCUGUGCUUAACACAGAAAUUGCAUUUAAGACUGUCUUGCUUGAGUUCUAGAGAGGAGACUGGAAUUUACGGUGUAGCAGUGAAAUGCGUAGAUAUCGUAAGGAAGACCAGUGGCGAAAGCGAGUCUCUGGCUAGAAACUGACGCUGAGGCACGAAAGCUGGGGGAGCAAACGGGAUUAGAUACCCGUGUAGUCC
rnacentral:rRNA from 1 species